GAUGAACGCUGGCGGCGUGCCUAAUACAUGCAAGUCGAGCGAACGGACGAGAAGCUUGCUUCUCUGAUGUUAGCGGCGGACGGGUGAGUAACACGUGGAUAACCUACCUAUAAGACUGGGAUAACUUCGGGAAACCGGAGCUAAUACCGGAUAAUAUUUUGAACCGCAUGGUUCAAAAGUGAAAGACGGUCUUGCUGUCACUUAUAGAUGGAUCCGCGCUGCAUUAGCUAGUUGGUAAGGUAACGGCUUACCAAGGCAACGAUGCAUAGCCGACCUGAGAGGGGGAUCGGCCACACUGGAACUGAAACACGGUCCAGACUCCUACGGGAGGCAGCAGUAGGGAAUCUUCCGCAAUGGUCGAAAGCCUGACGGAGCAACGCCGCGUGAGUGAUGAAGGUCUUCGGAUCGUAAAACUCUGUUAUUAGGGAAGAACAGAUGUGUAAGUAACUGUGCACAGCUUGACGGUACCUAAUCAGAAAGCCACGGCUAACUACGUG
rnacentral:rRNA from 1 species